ACCGGCAGCUCAAGUGGUGGCCAUUAUUAUUGGGCCUAAAGCGUUCGUAGCCGGUUUGAUAAGUCUCUGGUGAAAUCCCGCAGCUUAACUGUGGGACUUGCUGGAGAUACUAUCAGACUUGAGGUCGGGAGAGGUUAGGGGUACUCCCAGGGUAGGGGUGAAAGCGUGAAAUCCUGGGGAGACGACCUGGGGCGAAGGCGCCUAACUGGAACGAACCGGACGGUAAGUACCGAAAGCCAGGGGCGCGAACGU
rnacentral:rRNA from 1 species